AAGCGGAGAACCAGUCCAGUGUCUCCUCCGCCGACCGCGUCCUUCGGCAGUGUUGUGUUUGUUUUUAGUGUGAAAACACCCUCAACGAAACACGAACGUUCGGGAAAUCUGCGAGUUGGUCUUAGUGGAGUUUGUCGGAGUUUGUAAGAAGUUGUGCUAGUUGUUGGGAGACAGAACCGAGGAGGAGGAGAAAUGUUGCUGGUGUUGUUUUGAACCAGCUCCAUUUUCCUCCGGAGAGAGCGGGGGGAGACAGAAGAUAGACAGUAGAAGGAAAGGAGAGAUGGCCGAAGCGCGGACAGACGAGGAAGAGGAGGGUGGACUGGAGACGUCGGAAGAACCAGUGGUUCGCCGACAACCGAGGCCAGGCGCCGGUGGAGAUCGCCCUAACAGACGUAAGCCAGAACAUCGUCACAGCUACCACAAGGUCUACAUCUGUCAGUGAGGGACCCAGAGAGCGAGAGAGAGAGCGAGUACAAGACAGAGAGAGAGACAGAAGGCGACCGGAGAUCACCAUCCUAUCAGCGGAGCCGCUGUCCUCCACUUCCUGGUUCCCAGGGGCAUCUGGGGGAUUCCCCCCCCCCUCCUCCCGCCAGUCAGAUCUGGACCCCCACCAUCCCCCCCACCAUCAAGGUUUGGCCCACUGAAUGUCAACAUUCCUAUUGGAAAUCAUUUUGUUUUUAAUCCAACUUACUUAAUAUUCAAUUACAAUUGUAGCUAGUGACUGCCUGAUUACGAUUCCCAUAUCUGUGGCGAUACUUAUUUGAAUUUAGCUACACUUGUAGUAACUGUUUACAAAUAUACUAAUUAACUGAGCCUGUUUACAAUUCCCAAAUCUGUGGUGUUCCGUAAGUUUCAUAUCAACCCACACUGAGUGAGUCAAUAAAACUCCCUCAAGAUCACUUUGUCUAGUUUUUGCUUAUUAAGUACAUUUGAUAUGAAGAUAAUGUGUCAUUCCAUUUGAUAAUCUCAUUUAACUUCAAUUGGAGUGGAUUUAACAUAUAAUUUGAAAAGUGUGAUUAAUCGCAAGUUAAAUCCCCAAUACAAUGCGAUUAAUUGUGAUUAAAACAUUUAAUCGUUGCCCAGCCCUAAUCUUUUCUAAUGAUUUUUAUAUUUCUGAUAAUAAUCAUAGUAAUACUAAUGAUAAUAGUGAUUGUUAGAUUUAUAAUCAUCAUAGUAGUGAUAAUAAUGGUGAAUGUAAUAUUUAUGAUAAUCAUCAUAGUAGAAAUAAUAUUAAUGGUGAAAGGAUAAUUAUUGAUAAUCCUCAUAGUAGUAAUAAAAUGAUGGUGAUAUUUAUGAUAAUCAUCAUGCUGUCCAGACCAUGCUCAACAUGCUCGCAAGCAAAUUUAAUUAUUGAAUACGUACAGAUAUUUACUGCUACUCGCAGGAUACAAGUCCUUUCAA
ensembl:lncRNA